rnacentral:lncRNA from 1 species
UGCCCAUUGCUUGAGAGGGAUAUAUAUUUACAAGACAACAGAAUAGAAAACCAUAGAAACAUGGUCGAAAGGACUAAAAUAGAAUAAUUGUAUGCACAUCUUUAUAGCGGCCGGAGAAGGUAAGGAAAAAAGAAAACGUCUUCCUCUGGCCGAAAACAACUCUAAAUCUUUCAGUUGUAUAAGAAGACAGAAUGGAGAUUAAACUAAUCUUCCAUCUCGUUUUGAAGAUCACAACAACAUUUACUCCAUCACAACGCACAAGAACCUUGCUCG